rnacentral:rRNA from 1 species
GACAGAGGUGGCAAGCGUUGUUCGGAGUUACUGGGCGUAAAGAGUCUGUAGGUGGUCUGUCAAGUCUUUGGUGAAAGGCCGUGGCUUAACCAUGGGAAUGCCAAAGAGACUGGCAGACUGGAGGCUGGGAGAGGGAAGCGGGAUUUCUGGUGUAGCGGUGAAAUGCGUAGAUAUCAGAAGGAAGGCCGGUGGCGAAGGCGGCCUCCUGGAAUAGGCCUAACACUGAGAGACGAAAGCGUGGGGAGCAAACAGG